rnacentral:rRNA from 1 species
UACGUAGGGUGCGAGCGUUGUCCGGAAUUAUUGGGCGUAAAGAGCUCGUAGGCGGUGUGUCGCGUCGGCCGUGAAAACCUGGGGCUUAACUCUGGGCGUGCGGUCGAUACGGGCAUCACUAGAGUUCGGCAGGGGAGACUGGAAUUCCUGGUGUAGCGGUGAAAUGCGCAGAUAUCAGGAGGAACACCGGUGGCGAAGGCGGGUCUCUGGGCAGUAACUGACGCUGGAGGAGCGAAAGCGUGGGGAGCGAACAGG